CCUACGGGUGGCAGCAGUGGGGAAUAUUGGACAAUGGGCGAAAGCCUGAUCCAGCCAUGCCGCGUGUGUGAAGAAGGCCUUCGGGUUGUAAAGCACUUUCAGUGGGGAAGAAAGCCUUGGGGCUAAUACCCUCGAGGAAGGACAUCACCCACAGAAGAAGCACCGGCUAACUCCGUGCCAGCAGCCGCGGUAAUACGGAGGGUGCGAGCGUUAAUCGGAAUUACUGGGCGUAAAGCGCGCGUAGGCGGUCUGAUAAGCCGGUUGUGAAAGCCCCGGGCUCAACCUGGGAACGGCAUCCGGAACUGUCAGGCUAGAGUGCAGGAGAGGAAGGUAGAAUUCCCGGUGUAGCGGUGAAAUGCGUAGAGAUCGGGAGGAAUACCAGUGGCGAAGGCGGCCUUCUGGACUGACACUGACGCUGAGGUGCGAAAGCGUGGGCAGCAAACAGGAUUAGAUACCCCAGUAGUC
rnacentral:rRNA from 1 species